rnacentral:rRNA from 1 species
GGGUUGUGAGGUUAAGCGACUAAGCGUACACGGUGGAUGCCUAGGCAAUCAGAGGCGAUGAAGGACGUGCUAAUCUGCGAAAAGCGUCGGUAAGGUGAUAUGAACCGUUAUAACCGACGAUGUCCGAAUGGGGAAACCCAGUGCAAUUCGUUGCACUAUCGUUUGAUGAAUCCAUAGUCAAACGAGGCGAACCGGGGGAACUGAAACAUCUCAGUACCCCGAGGAAAAGAAAUCAACCGAGAUUCCCCUAGUAGCGGCGAGCGAACGGGGAGCAGCCCAGAGUCUUAAUCAGCAUCAGCAUCAGGAGAACGGUCUGGAAAGGCCGGCAAUAAAGGGUGAUAGCCCCGUAUCCGAAGGUGUUGGUGUUGUGAACUCGACGAGUAGGGCGGGACACGUGUUAUCCUGUCUGAAUAUGGGGGGACCAUCCUCCAAGGCUAAAUACUCCUGAUUGACCGAUAGUGAACCAGUACCGUGAGGGAAAGGCGAAAAGAACCCCGGCGAGGGGAGUGAAAUAGAACCUGAAACCGUGUACGUACAAGCAGUGGGAGCCUUGAUUUAUCAGGGUGACUGCGUACCUUUUGUAUAAUGGGUCAGCGACUUAUAUUCUGUAGCAAGGUUAACCGAAUAGGGGAGCCGUAGGGAAACCGAGUCUUAACUGGGCGAAUGAGUUGCAGGGUAUAGACCCGAAACCCGGUGAUCUAGCCAUGGGCAGGUUGAAGGUUGGGUAACACUAACUGGAGGACCGAACCGACUAAUGUUGAAAAAUUAGCGGAUGACUUGUGGCUGGGGGUGAAAGGCCAAUCAAACCGGGAGAUAGCUGGUUCUCCCCGAAAGCUAUUUAGGUAGCGCCUCGUGAACUCAUCUUCGGGGGUAGAGCACUGUUUCGGCUAGGGGGUCAUCCCGACUUACCAACCCGAUGCAAACUACGAAUACCGAAGAAUGUUAUCACGGGAGACACACGGCGGGUGCUAACGUUCGUCGUGAAGAGGGAAACAACCCAGACCGCCAGCUAAGGUCCCAAAGUCAUGGUUAAGUGGGAAACGAAGUGGGAAGGCUCAGACAGCCAGGAUGUUGGCUUAGAAGCAGCCAUCAUUUAAAGAAAGCGUAAUAGCUCACUGGUCGAGUCGGCCUGCGCGGAAGAUGUAACGGGGCUAAACCAUGCACCGAAGCUGCGGCAGCGACAUGUAAAUGUUGUUGGGUAGGGGAGCGUUCUGUAAGCCUGUGAAGGUGUGCUGCGAGGCAUGCUGGAGGUAUCAGAAGUGCGAAUGCUGACAUAAGUAACGAUAAUGCGGGUGAAAAACCCGCACGCCGGAAGACCAAGGGUUCCUGUCCAACGUUAAUCGGGGCAGGGUGAGUCGACCCCUAAGGCGAGGCAGAAAUGCGUAGUCGAUGGGAAACAGGUUAAUAUUCCUGUACUGGUGAUAAUUGCGAUGGGGGGACGGAGAAGGCUAGGCUGGCCGGGCGACGGUUGUCCCGGUUUAAGGAUGUAGGUGGGUGAAUUAGGCAAAUCCGGUUCACUGUACACUGAGGUCUGAUGACGAGUCACUACGGUGGCGAAGUAGCUCAUGCCCCGCUUCCAGGAAAAGCCUCUAAGCUCUAGAUUAUCAUUAAUCGUACCCCAAACCGACACAGGUGGUCAGGUAGAGAAUACUCAGGCGCUUGAGAGAACUCGGGUGAAGGAACUAGGCAAAAUGGUGCCGUAACUUCGGGAGAAGGCACGCUGGCAUUAGGUGAAGUGGUUUACCCAUGGAGCUGAAGCCAGUCGCAGAUACCAGCUGGCUGCAACUGUUUAUUAAAAACACAGCACUGUGCAAACACGAAAGUGGACGUAUACGGUGUGACGCCUGCCCGGUGCUGGAAGGUUAAUUGAUGGGGUUAUCCGUAAGGAGAAGCUCUUGAUCGAAGCCCCAGUAAACGGCGGCCGUAACUAUAACGGUCCUAAGGUAGCGAAAUUCCUUGUCGGGUAAGUUCCGACCUGCACGAAUGGCGUAAUGAUGGCCAGGCUGUCUCCACCCGAGACUCAGUGAAAUUGAACUCGCUGUGAAGAUGCAGUGUACCCGCGGCAAGACGGAAAGACCCCGUGAACCUUUACUAUAGCUUGACACUGAACAUUGAGCCUUGAUGUGUAGGAUAGGUGGGAGGCUUUGAAGUGUGGACGCCAGUCUGCAUGGAGCCAACCUUGAAAUACCACCCUUUAAUGUUUGAUGUUCUAACGUUGCCCCAUAAUCUGGGGUGCGGACAGUGUCUGGUGGGUAGUUUGACUGGGGCGGUCUCCUCCCAAAGCGUAACGGAGGAGCACGAAGGUUGGCUAAGCAUGGUCGGACAUCAUGCGGUUAGUGCAAAGGCAUAAGCCAGCUUGACUGCGAGAGUGACGGCUCGAGCAGGUACGAAAGUAGGUCUUAGUGAUCCGGUGGUUCUGAAUGGAAGGGCCAUCGCUCAACGGAUAAAAGGUACUCCGGGGAUAACAGGCUGAUACCGCCCAAGAGUUCAUAUCGACGGCGGUGUUUGGCACCUCGAUGUCGGCUCAUCACAUCCUGGGGCUGAAGUAGGUCCCAAGGGUAUGGCUGUUCGCCAUUUAAAGUGGUACGCGAGCUGGGUUUAGAACGUCGUGAGACAGUUCGGUCCCUAUCUGCCGUGGGCGUUGGAAGAUUGAAAGGGGCUGCUCCUAGUACGAGAGGACCGGAGUGGACGCACCGCUGGUGUUCGGGUUGUCAUGCCAAUGGCACUGCCCGGUAGCUAAGUGCGGAAGAGAUAACCGCUGAAAGCAUCUAAGCGGGAAACUUGCCUUGAGAUGAGUCUUCCCUGACUCUUUAAGGGUCCUAAAGGAACGUUUAAGACGAAGACGUUGAUAGGCUGGGUGUGUAAGCGUAGCGAUACGUUGAGCUAACCAGUACUAAUGAACCGUGAGGCUUAACCUGACAACACCGAAGGUGUUUUAG